rnacentral:lncRNA from 1 species
UGAAAAAGUGGUUCAGAGACGAUGAAGUUCUAGAUGGUCAACAAACAUAUCCAAGGUGAUGUUUAUUGCUUUCAAGACAUGUUGGUUUCAAGCAUUUCUUGGAUUUCCAAAUACUACAGAUGAAGUAUGAAUUUUGUAUAAUAUAUGAAGUAUAUAAAUCAUCAGAGAAAAGAGAACCAACUUCUCUAUGAUGAGAAAAGUGUUUCCAAAAGUCAUGAUAAUGAAUGAUGUAUGGCAAGACACAGAAAGGCCCAAACACUAUAUUGAUGCUGUUAUCAGUGUGUAGCCAUGGAGAACUGUCAGUGGUUGGUAAACCCAGUCCAAUUCCUGUGGCACUUUCUACUUCUGCAGUAAUUCAUUUCCUGAUUGUGGGAAGCAUGUCCUGCCACAAGGGCCAAGAUGGCGCCCUGGCCCAUUGCUAGGCCCCGUGAAACCCACAUGUUUACUGCCUUGCCCAAACAUGCGCAGUGAAACUGCAUGCGUAAGCUGCCUGCCAAGUUAGAUUAUUUCUCUUGAUCCGGAUCUGUCAGCCUAUCUGUGACCGACCUGAGCUCAUGCCUGGAGCGUGUGUGAUUCUGAUUGGAUGAGGUGGUGUGGAGCAAGAUGAGGUCAGUUGCUGCUACUGUAUAAAUAUAGCCCUUGCCCUAAGUAAAAAAAGCUGCAAGUAAAAAAAAAAAAAAAAAAAAAAAAAGAAAGCUGCGGAAGCUGUGUGAACCCGUCUUGGUGUCCAUGUCGUCAGAGACUGUGGCACUGAUCAUAUAUGCUUUCGACCUAGUGCUAGCAGGUUUCUAAAGACUUUGCUAAGGAAACCGAAGGAGAUCCUAGAAAUCCUAAUUUGAUCUCUCCUAUUUAUGCUCUUCAGACAUUCCCCAAAAAUUAGUGCAGCAGUUCCAGUAUGUGUACUUUGCAUGAGAUGGUCAGCAAGGAGAGCCAGGGCUUGUAGCGUCAAAUGUACAUAGAACAUACUUAGUUAAAAAAAUUCAGAAGUCAAAUUGCUACUAUGAUUUGGAGAGAAGAGAGUGUGAAAGAUUGAGAAUAAAAUGUUACCAUGGGAUUUUUCUUUUCUAAAUGUAUAAUUUUCUCUUUUCUGUUAUUUUCUAUCAUUUGGUAUAUUGAACUUAAUCUAUUCAGCUUAUUUCUGUAAGUAUUAAGUUUACAUGGCAUUAACAUUACAUUAAGAACAAAGGGAUAUUAUUAGGAGAAAUAUAUUUGAAGCACAGACCUAGCACAACUCAAACUUGAAUUUACUGGUAGGCAAGACCUGCACACACAUGAAACCUGAAGUCAAAGGCAUAAAGUUCAGAACUAUUUAUAUACCAAGAACUGGGGUUGUAACCUUUGUAGUCUAAUUCUGCAAAUCAAGCUUCCUAUUAGGAAUAUAUUUUCUGUAUUUUGGAUAUUCCAUUUGAGGUAGGAGAGUUGUGUGUGUGCGCGCACAUGUGUGCGUGUGUGUGCACUCAUAGUAGUCUACGAUUAAAAAGAAAAGCAAUUCUUCCUUAAGGCUGGGGUUGUGCCCUGUAGGCCUUCCAUUUCAUGCCUCUUUUUAGUUCUGUAAGGGAGUAUAUACAUAUGUAUGUGUCAAUAUUGUUUUCAUCCAAAUACUGUUUGUGCAGUAAGAUUUUAUAAAAUCUUUACUUUUUGUUCUGUUGUAGAGAAAAGACAGAAAGUAUACAUUUGUGAUUCAGACAUUUUUCCCAUUUCCUGGCCAUUGUCAACCUCAUUGCCUGUUUUUUUGUUGUUGUUUCAUUUUUCCCUUUUCUUAACAAUCUUGACAAAAAAGAUGCCAAGGUUGUUUCAGUCUUUGAGAUAGAAACUUUUAAAUAGAAACAUUUACUCUUAGCACAUGCUCAUAGUUCCAUCAUCAGAGCUAAAGUCGACAGGGCUCCCUUAAACACUAGGAAAUUGGCUUGGUUGUUCCCCAAGCCACCCAGUGAAUGCACUGAAUAUCUCUAGGACUGUUGCAUCAUCCAUAGAUGCUUAUGCUGGAUGAUCAAGUGGGACAUCUAGUUCCAUUUUUCCAGUGGUCUUUUCUCAAAUAGUGUGAAGACAAGCUAGACAGGAAGAGUUUUCUCCCAAUUAGUGAUACAUAGUGAUAGGACGCCGUUAAUACACAACUGAGGAUGAUUCUGUUUUACUUAUUUGGAAUUUGUGAAGAUAUCAUAUCUUAUAUAUUACACAUAUAUGUGUAAAGAUCUUAUAUAUCGGGAGCUUAUCUGUCAGUUAUUGGUAAGUGUAAGCACUGGGCAGUUGUGAAGCAGAGAGCAGUGUAUUUAGGGAAGGUUCCUGUUGGAAUAGGAAGCAUGUUUUCUUAGUCAUUCAUUGUGAUAGACUCCAGAGAUGAUGGAUUGCUUCUCCUUGCCAUUUUUAGUAGCAUUGUAGUUUCAUUGGACUGUCACUUGGAACUUACAUCACAGAGAAGACUUUCAAAGUCUUUAAAGAAUUGGUGCUGUUAUCAUAAUAUAUCUAGGCAUACCUUUAAAAAAAGUAGAACACAGUUGAACAUCAUAAAAAUCACAGUUUUUCCACACCCCAAAGACUCUAUUUGAGUGUGCUAGUAUCACCACACUACAUGCC